AAGCUGUGCAGAAAUAAUACAAUGUUUAUUAAGAAAAUAAGAUUUACUAAUUUGUUUUAUUAUUCUAUUUCUUUUAAACAGAUUUAAUGACAACAGGCUCAACUUUUCACUCACUUGUAUGACUAUGAGCAGUUUGACCAAGUUGAAGAAGAUGACUCGUUUGUAGUCUUCCUCAUCAGCUCAUUCCAUCUACUGGCUUUAAAAUCAUUUAGUACAGAGCUCACCGUCUAGGUGUUCAUCCAGUGUUUUGUUUGCUUAUCAUGCAGGAUCAUUUUAAAAGGAAAAGUAUGUGUGUAUGAGUUAGAGCUCUGAUCCCAGGAGUCCAUGUAGAAGCUUCCCCUGAGAAAUGGAUCGUUUUUGCACCAAUGCUACUGAAAUGUGUGAAUGUGGUAUACCACGCGUCCCAAUAAGUGUAAACAGCGUCAUAGGCUACUUAUUUGAAAUGACCAGUACUCAUGACAUUCCAUUCAACUGAGGACUAAAUAUAGCCAACGUAGGCUGUGUUUGCCAAAUAGACUUUGAAGUAUUCUUCACACAGUCCUUCAUCGAUGCCAGUUUUCAGAUCGAAGAAACCCUUGCUCCAUGAAGUUUGUGAACACAUAUACUCAUGUUUUGUUUGAGAUUUUAAAGUCAUUCUUCAGUUUUGUUGGAGGAAUGGUUCUGUAUAUGCCCCGUGGAUCCCCAAAUCCACUGAUGUUCAUGUGUCUUGGGGCUUCCCAGGUGGUUCUAGUGGUAAAGAACAUGCAGAACAUACCCAUGCAGGAGACAUGGGAGGUAUGGAUUCCAUCCCUGGGGCAGGAAGAUCUCCUGAGGGAGAGCAUGGCAACCCCCUCCAGUAUCUUUGCCUAGAGAAUCUCAUGGAGAGAGGAGCCUGGUGGGGCCUAGUCCAUAUGAUCCCAAGGAGUUGGACACAAUGGGUACAAAGAAAAAUAAUAUGAC
rnacentral:lncRNA from 1 species